GUGGGGAAUUUUGGACAAUGGGCGCAAGCCUGAUCCAGCAAUGCCGCGUGCAGGAAGAAGGCCUUCGGGUUGUAAACUGCUUUUGUCAGGGAAGAAAUCUUCUGGGCUAAUACCCCGGGAGGAUGACGGUACCUGAAGAAUAAGCACCGGCUAACUACGUGCCAGCAGCCGCGGUAAUACGUAGGGUGCGAGCGUUAAUCGGAAUUACUGGGCGUAAAGCGUGCGCAGGCGGUGCUGUAAGACAGGCGUGAAAUCCACGGGCUCAACCGGGGAAUUGCGCUUGUGACUGCAGUGCUGGAGUACGGCAGAGGGGGAUGGAAUUCCGCGUGUAGCAGUGAAAUGCGUAGAUAUGCGGAGGAACACCGAUGGCGAAGGCAAUCCCCUGGGCCUGCACUGACGCUCAUGCACGAAAGCGUGGGGAGCAAACAGGAUUAGAAACCCCUGUAGUCC
rnacentral:rRNA from 1 species